CAGCAGCCGCGGGAACACGUAGGGUGCAAGCGUUAAUCGGAAUUACUGGGCGUAAAGCGUGCGCAGGCGGUUAUAUAAGACAGAUGUGAAAUCCCCGGGCUCAACCUGGGAACUGCAUUUGUGACUGUAUAGCUAGAGUACGGCAGAGGGGGAUGGAAUUCCGCGUGUAGCAGUGAAAUGCGUAGAUAUGCGGAGGAACACCGAUGGCGAAGGCAAUCCCCUGGGCCUGUACUGACGCUCAUGCACGAAAGCGUGGGGAGCAAACAGGAUUAGAUACCCCGUGUAGUCCCUGUCUCUUAUA
rnacentral:rRNA from 1 species